GUUUAAGGGAUGCACCCGUUCACAGAGAGCCUCAUUCCGCAACGACCCAUCAACUUCACCUUAUAGUAUACACAUGGCCACCCGACGAAACAACUACUUUGUGAGUCAGCACGGCAACUUUUCGUCCUGUAGUAAGGGGCAAGCAGGGGCCAAGCCGAUGCGCGAUCGUACGUGCCACAAGCCUAUGCCAGCUUCGCCAGCCAAAGCCAUCGCCACCAAACGCAGGUCUAAUUUGUCAUUGCCAUCAGAUUGUAGCACACAUGGGUCGAUGUCAACACCGCUUCCUGUGAACGGCAUUCCUUCCUGCAUGGCAUCUUCAUGGCUCUGCCAGGAAGGGCAGUGACGUCCAGAUUGCUGUCAUAUGUUUUUCGUCGACCUGACGCCUUGCCUUAGUAUUGUACCUGCACUGUCCUUCGAGGGAUAAGAAUCGUCCCACGUGGUGAAACCCCACGAAAGCUGUUCCACACUGAUCCUGCAGACCUGCUUGGGAAAAGAACCUACCCCAGCACCCAUUAAGCCUGCUUCCGUCUUGUUUCCAACAGCUCCAAGUACUUCGCAUGGUGCUUAAUGCACGGAUGGUUGCUACAGUUGAUGCUCUCGCUUCACCAUCCUGGUUCGUGGCCGCCCGUCAGCCCUGCCAAACAUUGCAAACCAGGGGAACUCCUGAUACCCUAAGUACAUCGUGAAAAUAAUAAAUUUGGACCACGGUAGAUUUGUAAAGACAGAGUUAACGGUCGUCCGUCUGGUUCUCCGGUCGCAGGUUUCUGCAUGCAGUUGUGAACCCGUACCACAGUACAAACGGCCUUCAGCAUCCAAGCUCAUGGU
rnacentral:lncRNA from 1 species